rnacentral:rRNA from 1 species
GACGAACGCUGGCGGCAUGCCUAACACAUGCAAGUCGAACGGGGAUAGCGAUAUCCCAGUGGCGAACGGGUGAGUAACACGUGAGCAACCUGCCUCGUAAACAGGGAUAACAUCGGGAAACUGGUGCUAAUACCGGAUAAGACCACAGAUCGGCAUCGAUCAGGGGUAAAAGUGAUUUAGCGAUACGAGAGGGGCUCGCGUCCCAUUAGCUAGUUGGCGGGAUAACAGCCCACCAAGGCGACGAUGGGUAGCCGACUUGAGAGAGUGAUCGGCCACACUGGAACUGAGACACGGUCCAGACUCCUACGGGAGGCAGCAGUGGGGAAUAUUGGGCAAUGGGCGAAAGCCUUACCCAGCAAUGCCGCGUGAGUGAAGAAGGUCUUCGGAUUGUAAAGCUCUUUGAUUAGGGACGAAUAAAUGACGGUACCUAAAGAACAAGCCCCGGCUAACUACGUGCCAGCCGCCGCAGUAACAC